UGAACAAAAGGUCCAGUCCAGCAAAUUUCAGAGAGGAGUAAUUUCACAUUUCUCAGUUCUCUCUGAAAAAAAAUACUACAAGGGAGGAAUUGGGGCUGGUGAGAAAAAAAUGGAGGGGAAAACGGAGAAGGAAAACAAGAGUGUAAAGAAGACGGCGUGUGAUGUGGAGGCUCUGAAGAAGUGUUUGGAAGAAAAUAAAGGCGACUAUUUGAAAUGUCAGUCUCAUGUUGAAGCAUUUAGGUCAUCUUGCUCUAUCAACAAUUCUAAUUCUUCUUCACCAAAGCUCAACUCCGAUACGCACGCAGGAAGGCAAUAACUUGACCAAGCCUGUUCAAGAAAAGAUCUUCAUAUAUUAGAGGACUGAUUUGGAGGACUGAAAUCCGCGUCUUUUGCUGCUAGCAGUAAUAAAACCAGAAAGAAGAUUCAAGUAUAAGACACCGCAUUGUUUGUAAAAUUCCUCAACAAAGGAUAUAGUUUUCUUAUCUUUGCUAUUUCUUCAGCUUUAAUAUCUCUUCAGAUACUCUCCCAGAAAUUUUGUGACAAGUAGCAAGAGAGAACUAAUGAGGAAAACAAAAUGUUGGUGGAUGGGCAGUUGAAUAUUACAUUGGCUGCUUUUAGUUUGUACAUGCAAGUAUUUCCAGUAACAAUAUGAAGAACUGGGUAAUUUAAAGUUCAGGGGCAAAUUUAGUGACAAAAGGCUGGCUGGUCAUGUCUUGUUUUUUUUUCUUUCAAAAUCAUCUUAUAUAAAACUGAUUCCAAAUAAAUGAAGAAACUGGAGCUAAGGGCAAUGUGUGUAAAUUUGAGACCUCAAUCUUGAAGCUUUUGGUGCAUCUUUACGACUC